rfam:TPA: Bos taurus chromosome 25, whole genome shotgun sequence.
UCCCUGGUGGCUCAGAUGGUAAAGAAUCCGCCUGCAAUGCGGGAGACCUGGGUUCGAUCCCUGGGUUGGGAA